UACGGGGGGAGCAAGCGUUGUCCGGAUUUAUUGGGCGUAAAGAGCUCGUAGGCGGCUUGUUGCGUCGUCCGUGAAAACCUGUGGCUCAACUACAGGCUUGCGGUCGAUACGGGCGGGCUGGAGUUCGGUAGGGGAGACUGGAAUUCCUGGUGUAGCGGUGAAAUGCGCAGAUAUCAGGAGGAACACCGGUGGCGAAGGCGGGUCUCUGGGCCGAUACUGACGCUGAGGAGCGAAAGCGUGGGGAGCGAACAGG
rnacentral:rRNA from 1 species